CUGCACAUUACAUUGACAGUGCUCUCAUUGUCACAUAGAGCAUUGUUAUUUCUGGUGUGCUAUAUAAACUGAAGGCUAAUUAGCAGUGUAACUGGACAUUAAUAGUUACUGCUGCCAGUCUCCUUCAUACAGUG
rnacentral:snoRNA from 1 species